ACUCACACACACACACACACACACACACACACACACACACAGUGCUGCUGACACUUGGUUGAUUCACAGACACCGGACCGGGAAGCUUAAGAGAGUAGAGAGAAGAUGUACAUCAUUGCCCUGGUAUUGGUCAUCUGUCUGGGCUUAGUGGGAAUGCUGUACGGAUACUAUAAAAAUAAUGAACGGCGCAUCCACCGCACUAUCAUGAUUGGCCAGUGUUACUUGAUAUGUCUGUUAAUUGUGGUAGUGGUGUUCCUCAUUUUAAAGCUGGAAGAUCAGCAAGUGAAAGUGAAUGAGAGAUGAAGAAGAGAUGAAAGCAUCGCGGGUUUGGAUGUCAAAGUGAACCAAAUUGAUGGAUGAUAUUUGAUUAAAAAGGAAGAAGUGUUACAGUAAUAGGAUACAACAGGAAAAAUUGCAUUUAAAUUGUAUAAUUGAGUUCAUUAUUAAUAAGAAAAACAUUGUUACACAUGAAUCAAACUGUCAUACCUAUAUCAGUGUGGAAGGGCCUUAAGGGACUCUACAUAAAGUCAAGAUGCAGUUAAAUGGAGAACAAAAAACAAACAACUAAACAAAAACAACAAGAAGCAAUUUGGCUAUUCAUGCAUAUGUUUUUGCCUAUUUUUCUUAAUCUGCAGUGAACAAGAAUGAACUCCUUUAUUUGUCAGUAAUCAUAUAUGUCAUAACUGCCAAAAAUGAUCCUGUGACUGAACUUCUGUAUCUUUAUAGUCCUCAAUAAAAUUUAAAUAUU